AGGUCCGUAGCUCAAUUGGUAGAGCACCGGUCUCCAAAACCGGGGGCUGCUGGUUCGAGUCCAGCCGGGCCUG
rnacentral:tRNA from 1 species